CGAAUAAUCAUAGCCGCCUCGAUGGCGAGCUGCACCAAUCUCCGAUCCAGGGAAAGCUCGGCCACCCAUUUUCUAUCGCUGCGGACAUCCGCUGGUGCUGCCCACGCCUCGCGCCCGGAGGCGGACGACCUCCUAAAGUCAAGAUGCUGACCGCGAUGGACUCCUCCCUAGCUAUCCGCUUGCGCCACUGCUCAAGCGGCGGUGCCUGUCUUCAGCCGCCGCCGCCUGCGCCACCGCCUCAGGCGAUUCUGUCGGUUGUCGUCGGGGCAUUCCCAAGGUUCCCGUCCCAAGGCAAGCGGAGAAUUUCCGGAGGAGGCUUCGGGAUCUUUAUUGAUAGCUGCUCUCAAUCUCGCCGGGGUCUUCCUCUUUCUUCCAGAGUUCGUUCUUCGCAAGGCGAUGCAGGUUCGCUGCCGGAUUCACCGAGAAGCAACUCGAAGCCACGUUACCAUCCUUCUGAGGAAAUCCAAGAGCUGGAUCCUUCUGCUACUGGAGAAGAGAGGUGUCUCACAGUGGCGGAGACUGCUAGGACCAUAAUAGAGGUGAACAGCAAAGCAACUAUUGUCUUUUCAGGAUUCACUGAUGAUGUAGUGGAUCAAAAUAUUGUUUUGCCUUAUUUACCAUACUUAACUGAUGAACAUGGAGAUAUUUAUUUUGAGGUGGGCAAUGAGAAAGAAAUUUUGCAAACUCUGAUCGCAGAUGAUACAUUAGUGCAAGUUAUAAUUGGUUUGGACAAUGUGGAAAUGCUGCCAGAGAUGGACCUAUUAGGGCCAGCUGAUCUUGAUUAUGGAGUCGAAGAAAGUUCUAGUGAUGAAAGUACCAGUGAUGAAGAAUAUGAAGAGAAUGUUGUGAUCAUUCAAGAAGAUGAAAUAGAUGAGAUUCUCUCUGAUGAUAUAAGUGAUUGGACAAAUUUGGAAACAAUGCGAUCUUGUCACCCUAUGUAUUUUGCUAAGAAAAUGGAGGAGUCUAUAUUAACUGAUCAUUUGGACUGGAUGGAUCAACCUCCUGCUAGCAUUGUCAUUCGAGGUCAUUUGAGACCUGCUUUUGUUGAGGAGAACACAAAUAUCAAGAAGAUUCCAUAUAGUGGAGAAUCAGAUAAUGACAGAAGUUCGAGUAAUGGAGCUGCUUUUUAUAAAUUGGAGAUGAUUAAUAUUCAGAUAGUUUCUGCAUAUGGAAGCCAGUUUGCUGUGAAAAUUCAAGACUUUCUGGAAGCUCAACCAGAUGUUCUUGCACAUUCAGCUGCAAACAUUUUAUCUCGACUAAAAGCUGGUGGUGAGAAGAUCUCACAAGCCCUUAAAAACCUAUGCCUGAGGCAAAAGAGUAUGAAUGUGGAGGAGGCUGUUGCAAUUGGAGUUGAUAGUCUUGGUUUCGACUUGAGAAUUUGCUCAGGAAGGCAAGUUCAAACCUUAAGAUUUUCAUUUGACACACAAGCAACAUCAGAGUUUAGCGCAGAAAAGCAGCUAAAUGAUCUUCUUUUUCCCCGACAGCAGCAGAAACAGCAGAGCUGGCAGCAAGCUCAUCAGGAUUAGACAGCUGACAAGUUUGAUUAUAGCAUAUCUAGCCGAUUCAUCUUCAUAUCUUGAGGUGGGAUCGUCUGAUCUUUCAUCCCCGCCAUCAGGUCAUCUAUUGCAUAUAACUUGUCUCUCAAUUCCUAGCUCUUGAUCAGGGAAGCCACUGUAGCUUGGAAGUAUAUUGAUUGAUCUGGGACAUACGGAUGAAAAAUCUUAGACAGAAGAUCUGAUUUCAAUUAAUCCACCGGUGGAGAGAAAAGCUUGGGCUGGGCCUGGGCCGAAGGCCUGGGCGGACCGGUCCUCCGCCUUUAAAUACCGCAUUGGAACAUUCUCUCCUUUGGCUCAGCACCAAAACAUCCUCCGCUCCGCUUGCUCCAAAUCCGUCGCUCUGCUCCUCCUCCUCCUCCUCCUCCUACACCGCCCAAAUCCCAAUCGCAUCGGCAGCGGAAACCUAGGCG